UGGGGAAUAUUGGGCAAUGGAGGCAACUCUGACCCAGCAACGCCGCGUGAAGGAAGAAGGUCUUCGGAUUGUAAACUUCUGUCGCAGGGGACGAAAGAAAUGACGGUACCCUGCAAGAAAGCCCCGGCUAACUACGUGCCAGCAGCCGCGGUAAUACGUAGGGGGCAAGCGUUGUUCGGAAUUACUGGGCGUAAAGGGUGCGUAGGCGGACAAAUAAGUCAGAUGUGAAAUCCCCGGGCUCAACCUGGGUGGUGCAUUUGAAACUAUUUAUCUUGAGUGCAGGAGAGGAAAGCGGAAUUCCUAGUGUAGCGGUGAAAUGCGUAGAUAUUAGGAGGAACGCCAGUGGCGAAGGCGGCUUUCUGGACUGUAACUGACGCUGAGGCACGAAAGCGUGGGGAGCAAACA
rnacentral:rRNA from 1 species